rnacentral:rRNA from 1 species
AUUGAACGCUGGCGGCAGGCCUAACACAUGCAAGUCGAGCGGAUGAAGGGAGCUUGCUCCUGGAUUCAGCGGCGGACGGGUGAGUAAUGCCUAGGAAUCUGCCUGGUAGUGGGGGAUAACGUCCGGAAACGGGCGCUAAUACCGCAUACGUCCUGAGGGAGAAAGUGGGGGAUCUUCGGACCUCACGCUAUCAGAUGAGCCUAGGUCGGAUUAGCUAGUUGGUGGGGUAAAGGCCUACCAAGGCGACGAUCCGUAACUGGUCUGAGAGGAUGAUCAGUCACACUGGAACUGAGACACGGUCCAGACUCCUACGGGAGGCAGCAGUGGGGAAUAUUGGACAAAGGGCGAAAGCCUGAUCCAGCCAUGCCGCGUGUGUGAAGAAGGUCUUCGGGUUGUAAAGCACUUUAAGUUGGGAGGAAGGGCAGUAAGUUAAUACCUUGCUGUUUUGACGUUACCAACAGAAUAAGCACCGGCUAACUUCGUG